rnacentral:misc_RNA from 1 species
GGGAUGCCUAAGGUAGGACUGAUGACUGGGGUGAAGUCGUAACAAGGUAGCCGUACCGGAAGGUGUGGCUGGAUCACCUCCUUUUAGGGAGACCUAAUCCAUUUAGAAUUUGAAAGCAAUGUAAAUUGCUAAUAGAAACUAAAUUGGUCUAACCUAGGUCGGUCGAGAUUGGUAGAUAUCUUUCAAAGUAUUAUUUGGCUUAGUUCAAAAACACAAAUCAAACUCAGCACCUAACAAUCAUAGUUAGACUGCUGGAUUAAAUUCCAGUCAGAACCUUGAAAACUGCAUAAGAGAAAGAAAAAUUAGCAGGCAGACACAGACAUUGAGGUGGAUGUGAAAGCAAACAAAAAGACAUUGUGGUCAAGCUAAUAAGGGCUAAUGGUGGAUACCUAGGCACCACAGAGGA